GAUGAACGCUGGCGGCGUGCCUAAUACAUGCAAGUCGAGCGAACAGACGAGGAGCUUGCUCCUUUGACGUUAGCGGCGGACGGGUGAGUAACACGUGGGUAACCUACCUAUAAGACUGGGAUAACUUCGGGAAACCGGAGCUAAUACCGGAUAAUAUUUCGAACCGCAUGGUUCGAUAGUGAAAGAUGGCUUUGCUAUCACUUAUAGAUGGACCUGCGCCGUAUUAGCUAGUUGGUAAGGUAACGGCUUACCAAGGCAACGAUACGUAGCCGACCUGAGAGGGUGAUCGGCGACACUGGAGCUGAGGCGCGGUCCAGACUCCUACGGGAGGCAGCAGUAGGGAAUCGUCCGCAAUGGGCGAAAGCCUGACGGAGCAACGCCGCGUGAGUGAUGAAGGUCUUCGGAUCGUAAAACUCUGUUAUUAGGGAAGAACAAACGUGUAAGUAACUGUGCACGUCUUGACGGUACCUAAUCAGAAAGCCACGGCUAACUACGUG
rnacentral:rRNA from 1 species